GCAUCCUGUAAUAGACUGAUGGGUGAUGAUGGACCGUGUGAAAUUGGUUCCGACUUUCUCCCGUCGAGCUCAUAAAGUUUUCCAUCCACACAUGUGAAGCAGAUAAAGUGAGUAUCGACGUUUUCUGAAGCUGCCGUAUCGCCAGCAGUUGCUGCUACUGAAUGCGCAACUUCCAUUUCUCCAUCUUUCUCAAGAAAUGCAGCACGCUCCAUCGGAUCCAUG
rnacentral:misc_RNA from 1 species